CUGACUGGUCUCACGUACAAUGGCAGAAACCUCGCUGGUGUUACUGCUGAUUUACACUGGUGUAACUGAAAGCAGCACUGGGCUCGUUACCAUGAAAGCAGAAAGUUCUGCAGAGGGAUAGUGAUUGAUCCCAUAUGGGAAACUUGGUGGCUUCCAGCAGUUGUCUCUCCUCUGAAGGAAGAAAACUCCCCUCAGUCCAGUCCUCCACCUGUUACCAGUCCCCGCUGUAGCAGGACACAUGUCCCAAAGAAAGAGAUGAGGCUUUUACCUAGGUGCUCUUUGAGGAUGUCGACCUCCAGGGCUGCUUUCCUGUAUUUCUCCUCCACUUCAUUUUCUGCAGCAAGCGAGUGAAAGAGAGACUGUUAUUGCCGAUCUGACGCAGAGGAUGAGACAAGCUCCAGGAGGUGAGCUGGCGUAUCCCCCCCGCAACUGCAAUGUUUGAAAGCAGUCCAUUGGCCUGUUGGUACAACACGUCGGAUCGGGGAAUGAAAUGGAAUCUUUACAAGGAAUGAACAUCCCCAGAGCAGAAGGUCAACAUGAGGAAAGUUGCCACCGCUGCUAACUUGCAAGCAAUUUCCACUGUUACCAUGGAAUAGUUGAAUUUCCAAGCGGAGGCAGGAGAAAGGAAGGUGCUGCUCUGAGUCAUUUUUCCAGAACAUUCCAAAAGUGGACUUUACAAAGACAGAAGAGAUCCACAUCCCCAGAAAGGACACAAUUUAAUGUAAGCAAGUACUAGGAUGUAAAUAAAUUAUUUAUUCAAACUAA